UCCACAAAGCCUUUUUUCAACUUUUGACCUCGGAUCAGGUAGGGAUACCC
rnacentral:rRNA from 8 species